GUGUGGACCGCUGCUGGCGCUUCCCUGUCGCCGUGGGGCUUUUCGUGCCGCGGGGAGGGCCGGGGGGAGGCGGUUCGCGAAUCGUAUUGGCCGCUGUGCCCGGCACGUUCUGAAAAUCACCGCUGGUCUCCUGUGGCCCUUGGAGCCAUGGUGGCGUGAGACGUGACCCUGGAGUGCCGAACCUCUCUGAAGGACGGUCUGAGAUGAGCUCCUGUGCUGGCUGUAUUGGACAUAAGGUUGAUCCAUACAUGCUGAAGAUUACACUUAGUCUUGUUCUCCUGAGUAAGACCUGCCCAGCCUGCAGUGCAUGGCACCAUGAAGUUACCUUAUCUAUUCCUGAUGGCUAUUGGGGUUUUCUUUUUUGAUGCUUUUGUGGAAAUGAGCCUUACAAAACAAAGCAAAAGAGGAGUAUGCUGGUGGACAGUGUAAAGCUGUAAGAAAUAUUCUAAUGAGAUAGGUCUGCCAGCAUUCCUUUGAUGUUGAAAUGUUCCCGGUGGAACCUGAGUGUUAUCUACCCUAUGAGACCUCUAAAUGAGGUUACCUAAAGUGCCUUUGUUAAUCAAAAGAUGGAGGGGUCUGUGAUCAAUGUGCCAGGCAAGCACUGAGAUGUUGGCAGGAUUUGUUUUUUGCCUUAUAGCAAGAGAUUUUAUAGGAAGAUUAGAAAGUAACAUCACAGGAUGGUGGUGUAUGCACAGCUGGGGCAUCUUCUGGACCAUUUCAGGAUGUUUUUGAAAGACUGUAUGUACCAAAGGAGUUGUAUGUAUGUAUAUGCAAUAAAAUACUGAAUCUGUGAAA